rnacentral:rRNA from 1 species
AUUGAACGCUGGCGGCAGGCCUAACACAUGCACGUCGAACGAGUGGCGGACGGGUGAGUAAUGUCUGGGAAACUGCCCGAUGGAGGGGGAUCACUACUGGAAACGGUAGCUAAUACCGCCUACGCGCGGAUGUGCCCAGCUGGGAUUAGCUAGUAGGUGGGGUAACGGCUCACCUAGGCGACGAUCCCUAGCUGGUCUGAGAGGAUGACCAGCCACACUGGAACGGAGACACGGUCCAGACUCCUACGGGAGGCAGCAGUGGGGAAUAUUGCACAAUGGGCGCAAGCCUGAUGCAGCCAUGCCGCGUGUAUGAAGAAGGCCUUCGGGUUGUAAAGUACUUUCAGCGAGGAGGCGUUACUCGCAGAAGAAGCACCGGCUAACUCCGUGCCAGCAGCCGCGGUAAUAC